rnacentral:rRNA from 1 species
UACGUAGGGGCAAGCGUUGUCCGGAAUCAUUGGCGUAAAGAGCGUGUAGGCGGCCAGAUAAGUCCGCUGUGAAAUCUCGAGGCUCAACUUCGAGCUGUCGGUGGAAACUGUCUGGCUAGAGUCCGGAAGAGGAGAAUGGAAUUCCUGGUGUAGCGGUGAAAUGCGCAGAUAUCGGGAGGAACACCAGUGGCGAAGGCGGGUCUCUGGACAGUUCCGUGACGCUGA